UUAGAAAUCUUAGCGCCAUGACCCCUGGGCUUUGGCUUUCAGGGAUAACGAGGUUGAAGGUUAUCGAAUAUUCGGCGGAUGCCUUCACGCAGAGUCUGGAUGCGCACAUGAUAUCCAAAUAUGGGGGUAACUCCAAAACAAAGAAUCAUGACCGGACACC
rnacentral:ncRNA from 1 species